UUUGUACGGCGGCUCAGUGACUUUGUAUCACUGUGGUACACGUUUGGUGGAGGAACCAGACUGGAUGUUGGAAGUGAUGUGCGCCCCGCCCUGAAGGUGCUGGGUCCCUCCAGUGAGGAGCUGCAGCAGGGGAAGGCCACGCUCAUGUGUCUGGCCAACAAGGGCUUCCCCUCAGACUGGAGGCUGUCCUGGAAGAUGGACGGCAGCAGUGGCAGCAUCAGAGGGGAGGAGAGCAGGACUCCCGCAGUGCUGCACAAUGACGGCCGCUACAGCUGGAGCAGCACCCUGACACUCACUGCAGACCAGUGGGGGAAGGUGGGCUCUGUGACCUGUGAGGCCACCCAGGGCUCCCAGGCUCUGGUCUCAGAGACACUGAGGAGAGACCAGUGUUCCCAGUCCUGAUGUGACUCACUGGGACUCUGAUCCUGCUUUUCUUCAGCUACUGCUCUCUGUGUGCUCCAACUCUCUCUGUCUCUUUCUUUCUUUUUCUUCUCACAUUAAAAGAAAAAAAUCAAAUCAUAAUAUUUUCCAUCUCAUAAGGAAAAAAAUGCUAAAAACAAUCUCCUCUAGUUUGAUCCUUUUGUGAUUGUUGUAAAAGUGAUAUUUGAACUUUUCAA